rnacentral:rRNA from 1 species
UUUAACGAGAGUUUGAUCCUGGCUCAGGAUGAACGCUGGCGGCGUGCUUAACACAUGCAAGUCGAGCGAAGCACUUUUGCAGAUUUCUUCGGAUUGAAGCAAUUGUGACUGAGCGGCGGACGGGUGAGUAACGCGUGGGUAACCUGCCUCAUACAGGGGGAUAACAGUUGGAAACGGCUGCUAAUACCGCAUAAGCGCACAGUACCGCAUGGUACCGUGUGAAAAACUCCGGUGGUAUGAGAUGGACCCGCGUCUGAUUAGCUAGUUGGUGGGGUAACGGCCUACCAAGGCGACGAUCAGUAGCCGACCUGAGAGGGUGACCGGCCACAUUGGGACUGAGACACG